GACGAACGCUGGCGGCGUGCUUAACACAUGCAAGUCGAACGGAAAGGCCCUGCUUUUGUGGGGUGCUCGAGUGGCGAACGGGUGAGUAACACGUGAGUAACCUGCCCUUGACUUUGGGAUAACUUCAGGAAACUGGGGCUAAUACCGGAUAGGAUCUCCUGCUGCAUGGUGGUGGUUGGAAAGUUUCGGCGGUGGGGGAUGGUCUCGCGGCUUAUCAGCUGGUUGGUGGGGUAGUGGCUUACCAAGGCUUUGACGGGUAGCCGGCCUGAGAGGGUGGCCGGCCACAUUGGGACUGAGGUACGGCCCAGACUCCUACGGGAGGCAGCAGUGGGGAAUAUUGCACAAUGGGCGGAAGCCUGAUGCAGCAGCGCCGCGUGCGGGAUGACGUCCUUCGGGUUGUAAACCGCUUUCGCCGGUGACGAAGCGUGAGUGACGGUAAUGGGUAAAGAAGCACCGGCUAACUACGUG
rnacentral:rRNA from 1 species